rnacentral:rRNA from 1 species
AUUGAACGCUGGCGGCAGGCCUAACACAUGCAAGUCGAGCGAGCGGCGCACGGGUGAGUAAUGUAUGGGGACUCCCCGAUAGAGGGGGAUAACUAUUGGAAAAGGUAGCUAAUAUCGCAUCUUACCGGAUAACACAUAUGGGAUUAGCUAGUUGGUGAGGUAAUGGCUCACCAAGGCGACGCUCCCUCGCUGGUCUGAGAGGAUGAUCAGCCACACUGGGACUGAGACACGGCCCAGACUCCUACGGAGGCAGCAGUGGGGAAUAUUGCACAAUGGGCGCAAGCCUGAUGCAGCCAUGCCGCGUGUAUGAAGAAGGCCCUAGGGUUGUAAAGUACUUUCAGUCGGGAGGCGUUACCGACAGAAGAAGCACCGGCUAACUCCGUGCCAGCCGCCGCGGUAAUAC